rnacentral:rRNA from 1 species
AUGAACGCUGGCGGCGUGCCUAAUGCAUGCAAGUCGAGCGAACAGAUGAGGAGCUUGCUCCUCUGACGUUAGCGGCGGACGGGUGAGUAACACGUGGAUAACCUACCUAUAAGACUGGGAUAACUUCGGGAAACCGGAGCUAAUACCGGAUAAUAUAUUGAACCGCAUGGUUCAAUAGUGAAAGACGGUUUUGCUGUCACUUAUAGAUGGAUCCGCGCCGCAUUAGCUAGUUGGUAAGGUAACGGCUUACCAAGGCAACGAUGCGUAGCCGACCUGAGAGGGUGAUCGGCCACACUGGAACUGAGACACGGUCCAGACUCCUACGGGAGGCAGCAGUAGGGAAUCUUCCGCAAUGGGCGAAAGCCUGACGGAGCAACGCCGCGUGAGUGAUGAAGGUCUUCGGAUCGUAAAACUCUGUUAUUAGGGAAGAACAAAUGUGUAAGUAACUAUGCACGUCUUGACGGUACCUAAUCAGAAAGCCACGGCUAACUACGUG